GCUCCGGUGGCACAAUCGGUUAGCGCGCCGUACUUAUAGACAGUACCUUCCCUGUGUUCACACAGGAUGAGGAAUGCGGAGGUUGUGAGUUCGAGCCUCACCCGGAGCA
rfam:Crassostrea gigas strain 05x7-T-G4-1.051#20 contig21655, whole genome shotgun sequence.